UACGGAGGGUGCAAGCGUUAUCCGGAUUCACUGGGUUUAAAGGGUGCGUAGGAGGGCAGGUAAGUCCGUGGUGAAAUCUCUGAGCUUAACUCAGAAACUGCCGUGGAUACUAUCUGUCUUGAAUCCCGUGGAGAUGAGCGGAAUAUGUCAUGUAGCGGUGAAAUGCUUAGAUAUGACAUAGAACACCAAUUGCGAAGGCAGCUCGUUACACGAAGAUUGACUCUGAGGCACGAAAGCGUGGGAUCAAACAGG
rnacentral:rRNA from 1 species